rnacentral:rRNA from 1 species
AUGAACGCUAGCUACAGGCUUAACACAUGCAAGUCGAGGGGCAGCAUGGUCUUAGCUUGCUAAGGCCGAUGGCGACCGGUGCACGGGUGAGUAACACGUAUCCAACCUGCCGUCUACUCUUGGACAGCCUUCUGAAAGGAAGAUUAAUACAAGAUGGCAUCAUGAGUCCACAUGUUCACAUGAUUAAAGGUAUUCCGGUAGACGAUGGGGAUGCGUUCCAUUAGAUAGUAGGCGGGGUAACGGCCCACCUAGUCUUCGAUGGAUAGGGGUUCUGAGAGGAAGGUCCCCCACAUUGGAACUGAGACACGGUCCAAACUCCUACGGGAGGCAGCAGUGAGGAAUAUUGGUCAAUGGGCGAGAGCCUGAACCAGCCAAGUAGCGUGAAGGAUGACUGCCCUAUGGGUUGUAAACUUCUUUUAUAAAGGAAUAAAGUCGGGUAUGGAUACCCGUUUGCAUGUACUUUAUGAAUAAGGAUCGGCUAACUCCGUGCCAGCAGCCGCGGUAAUACGGAGGAUCCGAGCGUUAUCCGGAUUUAUUGGGUUUAAAGGGAGCGUAGAUGGAUGUUUAAGUCAGUUGUGAAAGUUUGCGGCUCAACCGUAAAAUUGCAGUUGAUACUGGAUAUCUUGAGUGCAGUUGAGGCAGGCGGAAUUCGUGGUGUAGCGGUGAAAUGCUUAGAUAUCACGAAGAACUCCGAUUGCGAAGGCAGCCUGCUAAGCUGCAACUGACAUUGAGGCUCGAAAGUGUGGGUAUCAAACAGGAUUAGAUACCCUGGUAGUCCACACGGUAAACGAUGAAUACUCGCUGUUUGCGAUAUACAGCAAGCGGCCAAGCGAAAGCGUUAAGUAUUCCACCUGGGGAGUACGCCGGCAACGGUGAAACUCAAAGGAAUUGACGGGGGCCCGCACAAGCGGAGGAACAUGUGGUUUAAUUCGAUGAUACGCGAGGAACCUUACCCGGGCUUAAAUUGCAGAUGAAUUACGGUGAAAGCCGUAAGCCGCAAGGCAUCUGUGAAGGUGCUGCAUGGUUGUCGUCAGCUCGUGCCGUGAGGUGUCGGCUUAAGUGCCAUAACGAGCGCAACCCUUGUUGUCAGUUACUAACAGGUUCCGCUGAGGACUCUGACAAGACUGCCAUCGUAAGAUGUGAGGAAGGUGGGGAUGACGUCAAAUCAGCACGGCCCUUACGUCCGGGGCUACACACGUGUUACAAUGGGGGGUACAGAGGGCCGCUACCACGCGAGUGGAUGCCAAUCCCAAAAACCUCUCUCAGUUCGGACUGGAGUCUGCAACCCGACUCCACGAAGCUGGAUUCGCUAGUAAUCGCGCAUCAGCCACGGCGCGGUGAAUACGUUCCCGGGCCUUGUACACACCGCCCGUCAAGCCAUGGGAGCCGGGGGUACCUGAAGUGCGUAACCGCGAGGAGCGCCCUAGGGUAAAACUGGUGACUGGGGCU